UACGCCCUACGGGGGAAAGAUUUAUCGGGGAAGGAUUGGCCCGCGUUGGAUUAGCUAGUUGGUGGGGUAAAGGCCUACCAAGGCGACGAUCCAUAGCUGGUCUGAGAGGAUGAUCAGCCACAUUGGGACUGAGACACGGCCCAAACUCCUACGGGAGGCAGCAGUGGGGAAUAUUGGACAAUGGGCGCAAGCCUGAUCCAGCCAUGCCGCGUGAGUGAUGAAGGCCUUAGGGUUGUAAAGCUCUUUCACCGGAGAAGAUAAUGACGGUAUCCGGAGAAGAAGCCCCGGCUAACUUCUUGCUAGCAGCCGCGGUAAUACGAAGGGGGCUAUUGUUGUUCGGAAUUACUGGGCGUAAAGCGCACGUAGGCGGAUAUUUAAGUCAGGGGUGAAAUCCCAGAGCUCAACUCUGGAACUGCCUUUGAUACUGGGUAUCUUGAGUAUGGAAGAGGUAAGUGGAAUUCCGAGUGUAGAGGUGAAAUUCGUAGAUAUUCGGAGGAACACC
rnacentral:rRNA from 1 species